CUGGUUACCAGCCUGACACCUCCUCGUCGGAGCUCGGUGGUCUGCGGAUGCCUAAACAGGACUUGAGAGCCCCGUUCUUCCCUGAUUGGUCAGUGGGGCAGCCUCUAAAACCACGUGCCGGGAACCAGAAACAAGCUGUCAUCUUCCCUUUGGUGUAUCUGGAUUGCCGGUGUCAACACUCUUGCACCUGGGGGCCAGAUGACACUUUUCUGCCCGAUCGAUGUGAAGCUGUGGCGUGGACUUGCUUUGGCCAAUGAAAUGCAGCCGUCGGCCUGGAUCCUGAGUCCCAGAGUAAAGUGGACGUGCUGCACCGUUAGCACCGGCCCACCACGAACACGUCACGCCGGUGAGAAAGAAGCCACUGUUGGGGGAGGCCGCUGAGACGCUGUGGUCACCUGGCGUGGCAGCACAGCUGUCUCCGCUGGCCUCGUGGCGGGAGAAUUCGGCUUAAUCCCAGGUCUUCUGCAAGUGCCCUUCCUACCACGCCCAUCCCCUGCAUUCCAGAUAAACUACCCCGUUUGUUCUUACCUCUGCAUCUUUCAUCAUCCUGUGCCCUCUGCUUAGAAUUCUGUUGAAAUCCUACCCAUCUUCCAAAGUCAAGCCUGGAAUUUACCUCUUCUUCUGUGAUGCAUCCUCAGAGCCAAAGUACAGGCACUUUGUGAGCUACUAUUCUAGCACUUCAU